rnacentral:pre_miRNA from 1 species
UCGUUUUUUAUAUUGUUUUCCUUUGAUCUAUCACUUAAGCACGAGAGAGUCCCUUUGAUAUUGGCCUGGUUCACUCAGAUCUUCCCUGACCACACUCACGUCGUACAUAUGCAUUCUCUCUAGAUUAUCUGAUUGAGCCGCGCCAAUAUCUCAGUACUCUCUCGUCUCUAUUUUGGACUUUGUGAUCUUGUAAAUCGA